GUGUCAGCAGCCGCGGUAAUACGGGGGAUGCAAGCGUUAUCCGGAUUUAUUGGGUUUAAAGGGUGCGUAGGCGGUUUCUUAAGUCAGCGGUGAAAUUUAGGGGCUCAACCUCUACCGUGCCGUUGAUACUGGGAGGCUUGAAUGCGGAUGCCGUGGGAGGAAUGUGUGGUGUAGCGGUGAAAUGCAUAGAUAUCACACAGAACACCGAUUGCGAAGGCAUCUCACGAAUCCGCUAUUGACGCUGAUGCACGAAAGCGUGGGGAUCAAACAGGAUUAGAAACCCGGGUAGUCC
rnacentral:rRNA from 1 species